AGCCUUAAGUUUUAUUUAAGGUAAAACCUGCCCAGUGUAAAUAAUAAACGGCCGCAGUACCUUGACUGUGCUAAGGUAGCAUAAUCAGUUGGCUUUUAAAUGGAGUCGGGAAUGAAUGGAUUUAUAGGGUAAGGCUGUCUCUUUUAUAUUAAAUUGAAUUUAUUUAUUAGGUGAAAAUUCCUAAUUUUAGAAAAAAGACGAGAAGACCCCGGGAGUUUUCAUUAAGAAUUAUAUAAUUUAAUUUUUAUUUUUGUUGGGGCGACAUAUGAAGAAAUUUAAACUUCCAUUAUUAUAUUUGCCGACUGAGUAAGAAAAUUUAAACUACCCCGGGGAUAACAGCGUAAUUUUUAAUAAGUUUGCGACCUCGAUGUUGGACUAGGAAUUUAAUGGGCUAGCCGCCUAUUUUUAUUGUUCUGUUCGAACUAUAUUUCCU
rnacentral:rRNA from 12 species